CAGAGGCAAAAGCCUUUUGGAGGCCUUGGGCUGUCCAAGUGUGUUAAAGACAAUGGUAACACUGUAGGUCAGACAGAAAUGUCAGGAGACAUUUUAUUUUGUGGGGGAGAGUGUGGCACUGUGUGAUUUAUGGGUGUAAAGAUAGUUGCCCCCCAUUUAAUUUUGAACUAGUGUCAUGAAUGGGGCCAAAACCGCUGAGGAACCUACUGUCAAGAGUCUAUUUGGUGCUUGGUCUAGUGUGCGUGUGUGUGUUGUAAAAGAAAGGGGAUUGUUCAUGCCGGUGUGCUCAGCCUCGCCAGCGGGGGCGCUCCAUGCCUUAGGCAUUAGCAGCUGGCGCCAGCCGAAAAAGUAGUCAGUACUCGAUGAACGAAUGCACAGUACAGGCAAAGAGUGCGCUCCUGAAACUGACUACUGUUUUGUAUUUUACAGAUCAAAUAAAUGUGUUGCAUUAAGAGUGAGUAGCCCCU